AUUCCAGCUCCAAUAGCGUAUAUUUAAGUUGCUGCAGUUAAAAAGCUCGUAGUUGGAUUUCGGGCGGUUGACGACGGUCCGCCUCUGGUGUGCACUGCCGUUCAUCCGCCUUUCUGUCGGGGACGUGCUCCUAGGCUUCAUUGUCUGGGACACGGGUUCGACGAGGUUACUUUGAGUAAAUUAGAGUGUUCAAAGCAGGCAUCGCCUUGAAUAUAUUAGCAUGGAAUAGCACGAUAGGACUCUGGCCUAUUUUGCUGGUCUGUAGGACCGGAGUAAUGAUUAAGAGGGACAGUCGGGGGCAUUCGUAUUUCAUUGUCAGAGGUGAAAUUCUUGGAUUUAUGAAAGACGAACUUCUGCGAAAGCAUUUGCCAAGGAUGUUUUCAUUA
rnacentral:rRNA from 1 species